GUCAUUCGACGUGCCGUUCCGUGCUGUAGUGGAAUUCUCAGGGCCACCACCAGUUCGCGUGCACCGGCGCCCGAGAACGGUCACAUUUAUCGUGUUACUCGUCAGAGAAUUUUAUCGCUAUUUUCGUUCGAGCCGUUCUAUUGAUAAGUCAAACUACCCUUUCGUUUACUAGCCGGAGCACGAUUUUGGACGGUCUUAUUUAAAUUGGUGGACCGCGCUACUGGUAUCGGGAUACGGUCCGGGCUGAUGAGUGAAUUUACGAAAAGUGAGUGGAAAAAAGUUAGUGAGGGGAGCGCGAUGGAGACCUGCCAUAAACUGUACACAUGGGUCAAUCAUACAGUUCUCAUGUUACUUUUCCAGAUAUUCUGGAAGGUCAGUCAAAUAUCGGACUAUUUGAAGGGGAGAUCUGUAGAGAAGCCGAAGAACGAGCUUCAGUUGACAUUCUCGCCGCUAACAAAGGAAAUGAAGUUCAAGAGGCACAUCAGAUCGAUGUCCGACGUCCAGAAUAGCACCCCACACAGACUGUCCUACCGCUCGCGGAGGGGCAGCAACCACAUCCUGCUAACGUACGACUCGGACACACGCACCAGAAGGACCGCCUCAAGGUUCCUAUUGACGGAUUCGUCUGACUCGAGCGACUACUGCGAAUCACCAAAAAAAACGAUUUGCUUAGGUCAGAACAUUAUAAAGCAUUCGGAUUCCAUGAGAAUACUGUAAGGCGAUAGAUCUGAUUGAGGAGGCUGUGCAAUCUAGUUCGCUAGCUAGAUCGAUAUCACGUCAGGUAUAUUUUUUAGUAUUUGGACUAAAUAUGUUGUCGUUUACAUAAAAACGCACAAAAUAUUGCAUUUUUUAUAUUGAUGAUUCGCAGCGAGAUGGCUUCUCGUUUUACGUGCUAUCAAGGGCGGAUCCAGCUUUGGUGCCAGGAGGGGGUCACAUAGUCAUGGUCAAGUCAAGAACUUAUAAGUUAAUCUUGAUAACAAUAGAUACAAGUAAAAAGUAGGUAUUUUAUUAUAAGCACAUUAAAGGUAUAAGCACAUUAAAGGUAUAAAGAAAUUUUAGUUUUUUAACUUAGAACUAUGUUAUGAUAUGUUGAAGUUUAGUCGUUCCGAUUCCGAUUGAGGUUAGGAUUCAAUUUGAGGUUAGGCCUAAGACGUUACGUAGUCGACAAGCGCGCGCGAGUGUGGCGCGGUAAAAUUCAAAUUUUCGAUGCGUUCGUUCCCAAACAUUUGCCAUCAUACAAAGUUAUUAUUUUAUAUUAAAUUAAUUAAGGAGCAAUAUAAGGAGCAACAAUAUACCUAGUCUUGCCAUAAAUACUGUUACAAAGGAAAACAAAAAAAAUUCUAUGGCAAAUAACAUUUAUUACUUUUACAGUGCGUUAGUUUAAUACAUAAAUAUAAAACAAUUUAAAGUAUAAAAAGCUUAAUCGAAGUGGUCUCCAUUGGCUGCAAUACAGUCCUUUAAACGUUAAGACCAGUUAUCAAUAGAAGCACGCACUCUCUCCAUGGGAAAAUUUUUCACUGCCAAUCCUACGGAUUGUUUUAUUUUAUUUUUUUAUUGCCGUAUAGGCAGACGAGCAUACGGCCCACCUGAUGGAGAGUGGUUACCGUCGCUCAUGGACGUCAGCAAUGCCAGGGGCAGAGCCAAGCCGCUGCCUACCGUUUAAUACUCUCCACAAGCCUCGUUUGAAGAAGGACAUGUCAUAGCGCUCGGGAAACACCGUGGAGGGGAGCUCAUUCCAUAGCCGGAUGUUUUAGGGACUCCAAAUUAUCAUGGCGCUUAGAACAAGCCGUACUCUCUAAAACUGACCAUAAAUCAUAAUCCAGCGAAUUAAGAUCGGGACUAGACGACGGUCAGUCUUCAGCUCUGAUGAAGUCCGAAACGUUCGUUUCCAACCAAGACUGCGUAAACCGAGCUUUAUGACCUGGCGCCGAGUCUUGCUAGAAGGACUAUUCUUGAUUAUUGAACAUGGUGUUGUUAAGGGGCUUCACUACCUUCUCAAGAAUGGUAUCUUGAUACACUUGUGCCGAUGUUUUGAUACCUUUUUCACAAAAGUAUGGCUCAGUCACUCCUUCAUAGCUAAUACCCCACCAAACCAUCACUGAAGUCGGAUAGUGCCCACGUUGCACUCUGUCGACUAAUUGGGAAGCUUCCUUAAAGCUUUGAGCAUAAAUACGGUCAUUUUGUUUGUUAAAAUGUUGCUCAAUUGUAAAAAAGUUCUCAUCCGUAAACAAAUUUUUUUCUAUGACCUCCCUUUGCGUACCGUUUCAGUAGUUGUUUCGAUUUUACCCCCCAUUCUCUUUUAAAUUAUUAGUUAAGAAAUGACCACUAGGUCUCUUAUAGGCUGCAAGUCUUAAGUCAUCUUUUAAAAUACGCGACAUGGUUCUAGGUGCUAUCUUCAUCUCCCGAGAUAAAAUCGUUUGCUUUCGGACAGGAUUUCUUCGAAUUCUUUCCCUUACUGCUUUGACCACCUUUUUCGUACGAACACUACGUGGACGGCUAGAUAUUUUUCUGUCACAAACAGAGGAGGUCUCAUUGCACCUAUUAAUAGCCCGGUACACAAACAUUUUACUAAUACCAAGCGUAUGGAGAGUUUUAAAAAUUGCAUUUGGCUCCAUACCUACUUUGUGUAAUGCAAUCACAGCGAUUCGGUUUUCUUUAUCACCACACUCCAUUUUAAUAUCGCAAAAUAUUGUACAAUGUAUUGGCGCCAAAAUGAGAAAACUCAAUGAGCAAUCAUAUAAAAAUGACAGAUUCCAAAUUGAAAUGUAAUAUUUUGUUUAUUUUUAAUUGUAACAGUAUUUAUGGCCAGACUAAGUAUUGUGUCCUUAAAUCAUUAUGUUCAAUAUGUGGUCCACCUAGGUCCUGGAACCAGCUCAGGGGGGGUCAUGACCCCCAUGACCCCCCCCCUGGAUCCGCCCUUGCGUGCUAUUGUCCGGGUCGUACGUCGGAAUGUAUAAUAAUAUCCUUUCAUCAAUAUUUAAGGACGAAUAGAAAUAAUUUCUAUGAAAAAUUGAUUCGCUCGUGAACGGGAACGGCUUUGAAAUUGAAGUCCACGUAAAAUGUUAAUCAAAACCAUAUCAUUUUAAAUUUAGACAAAAAUAGAAUAUAUUUGCAGUUAAAAUAUAACAAAAAAAUAAGUAAUAUCAUCAUCACUUAACAUUAAUGGGAUCUACAAAUUUUGUGCCUAAUUUAUCAAACGAUUUUGGGAUCGAUUGUAAGAAGAACAAAAAUAUAUGAAUAAAAAACAAAAUACUUUGAACCCAACGUGAUUCAGCUAAUAAAUAUAAUAUUAAUAUUUCCUAAAAGAGACUGUGAUUGAAGUAGAGUAACUAAUGUAGUUUAUUUUAGGAUUUUAAGGUUAAAUGUAUUUUUAACAAUUUAUAAUUUUCGAUGUUAACCUGCAGUUUAAAUAGGUUAUUGCGUACACACCUUUUAUAGUUAACAAUUGUAUGUAUAUGGAAUUUAUCUCAAUUUUAAGAUUUUAAUAAUCGAAAAGCAUAUUAUGAUUGUCCUAUUAAGUUAAAAAAACAAAUUGUUUUAUUGGUAAAUAAAAUUUUAUGUUAAAUAAAAUAAAAUUCAAUGGACAACAGUUUUUUUUCAAACAUUUGAACUGAAUAUGUAUAAUAUAUAUAUAUACCAUAAUUAUACCAUAAAACAACGUAAUUCUGCACAAAAAAUGUUUAACUUUAAUUCUCACGUUUUAUUCAAUAUAUCUGUAUUUUUAUUAAUAAAAUACGAUCCAUUGGUCUCAUGAAAAACUUAUCGACAUUUCAAGGUGAGUUCAAAGAAAAGUAGUCGAUAAAGGGACUGUAUCGUUAAGAUUCACCUAACAUUUGACUAAUUGUAAGUUAGUAGCUAUGUAAAUAUAAGAUUUAAGUUCUAGAGCUUAGAAUUCGGAAUGUGAUAGGAUGAGCAAUGGAAGAUAUUUUGUUAUUUAUUUAAAAGUCAAUAAAAUAAUGAGUUGUUUAAGAUGAAA